GACGAACGCUGGCGGCGUGCCUAAUACAUGCAAGUAGAACGCUGAAGAGAGGAGCUUGCUCUUCUUGGAUGAGUUGCGAACGGGUGAGUAACGCGUAGGUAACCUGCCUUGUAGCGGGGGAUAACUAUUGGAAACGAUAGCUAAUACCGCAUAACAAUGGAUGACCCAUGUCAUUUAUUUGAAAGGGGCAAAUGCUCCACUACAAGACGGACCUGCGUUGUAUUAGCUAGUAGGUGAGGUAACGGCGCACCUAGGCGACGAUACAUAGCCGACCUGAGAGGGUGAUCGGCCACACUGGGACUGAGACACGGCCCAGACUCCUACGGGAGGCAGCAGUAGGGAAUCUUCGGCAAUGGGGGCAACCCUGACCGAGCAACGCCGCGUGAGUGAAGAAGGUUUUCGGAUCGUAAAGCUCUGUUGUAAGUCAAGAACGAGUGUGAGAGUGGAAAGUUCACACUGUGACGGUAGCUUACCAGAAAGGGACGGCUAACUACGUG
rnacentral:rRNA from 1 species